rnacentral:tRNA from 2 species
CGGCCAGCGGCGACAGGGUUUCGCCGGUUUCGGCGUCGGUGCCGCCCAGCGGCACGUCCAGCAUGGGCAGCCCGGGGUUCAGGCCCUGGCUGGCCGG